GGUUGCAUAGUCUAGUGGUUAUGAUAUCUGCUUUACAAGAAAGUGUAUAAUCUCGCAGAGGGUCCCAAGUUCGAACCUUGGUGCAGCCA
rnacentral:tRNA from 1 species